UCAGAGCGAACGCUGGCGGCGUGCUUAACACAUGCAAGUCGAGUGCGCGUCUGUAGCAAUACAGAUGGCGCACGGCGCACGGGUGCGUAACACGUGGGUAAUCUGCCCUUCGAUGGGGAAUAACUCCGGGAAACCGAAGCUAAUUCCGCAUAACAUUCCUUGAACCUCGGUUUGGGGACUCAAAGCCGUAAGGGCGUCGGAGGAGGAACCCGCGCACGAUUAGUUAGUUGGCAGGGUAACGGCCUACCAAGACUUUGAUCGUUAGCUGGUCUGAGAGGAUGGCCAGCCACACUGGAACUGAGACACGGUCCAGACUCCUACGGGAGGCAGCAGUGGGGAAUCUUGCACAAUGGGCGAAAGCCUGAUGCAUCGACGCCGCGUGGGGGAUGAAGCUUUUCGGAGUGUAAACCCCUUUUCGACCCGGACGAAUGUCCCCGCAAGGGGACUGACGGUACGGGUAUAAGAAGCCCCGGCUAACUACGUG
rnacentral:rRNA from 1 species